GAUGAACGCUAGCUACAGGCUUAACACAUGCAAGUCGAGGGGAAACGCCAUCGAAAGCUUGCUUUUGAUGGGCGUCGACCGGCGCACGGGUGAGUAACGCGUAUCCAACCUGCCCAUCACUUGGGAAUAACCUUGCGAAAGUAAGACUAAUACCCAAUGAUAUCCCACGAAGGCAUCGGAAUGGGAUUAAAGAUUUAUCGGUGAUGGAUGGGGAUGCGUCUGAUUAGCUUGUUGGCGGGGUAACGGCCCACCAAAGCAACGAUCAGUAGGGGUUCUGAGAGGAAGGUCCCCCACAUUGGAACUGAGACACGGUCCAAACUCCUACGGGAGGCAGCAGUGAGGAAUAUUGGUCAAUGGGCGAGAGCCUGAACCAGCCAAGUAGCGUGCAGGAAGACGGCCCUAUGGGUUGUAAACUGCUUUUAUAAGGGAAUAAAGUGGGUCACGUGUGACUUUUUGCAUGUACCUUAUGAAUAAGGACCGGCUAAUUCCGUG
rnacentral:rRNA from 1 species